UCAUGUGAUUGACGUCACCUUCCUGCCGCCAUGCUCCCCUUCCAACCACCACCACCGUGACAGACGGUACACUCAAACCACCAGUCAAAAUAAACCCCUUUCUUCCUUAAGCUGCACACGCCAUGUGGCCAUCCGUGUGCAAUGUGCUCAUCAGCACUGUCUAAUCCGAGUCUCAGAAAAUGCCUUUGCGUCCAGAACUUAGACAAUAAGGCAGGAGAUCGAAGACAGCUUCAUAACGGCUAUGUCGAACACGGAAGGAGGAAGGGAGGCGCAGCCUGGAGCUCUGGAAUUGGAUGAUGCAUGGUUCUUCUUCUGCUGAGAGACUUGUCACAGUGACAAAAUACUAGUCCACACAUCAUUCUCUGAGUUGCCCAUGAGAUAGAACGUACUUUCGUCUCUCCGUAAGUCAUUUGUUGUUCCUCUUUGGUGGUCUUGACUGUUCCUAGACUCUGACGUGUUUAUUAGUUUUAAGACACACUCAUGGGACCCGAGUCAGCACCAGCGGUGGAGACGCCAGGCAACCACUUUGGAUUUCUGUUCCAGAAAGCUCUUCUGUGUAGCAGGAGGCUGGAGAACCAGAGGCAGCAGGAAGCAGGCUGGAAAUGCCCAGUCAAGGUGAUCUGAAAACCGGAGCAAGCCUGUUACCUAACUCCUACCACAAACUCGCCAGCGCUUUCUUAGCCACCAACAACGGUUUAAUUACGAACCAGUCUAGGCACAGUUCUCCCGAGACUGGCUGCCUGUGUGAUUUCAGGUGGUGGCCAGAGAUCUGGGUUUACUGCAACUUCAUGGAAGCGACUAGGGGGUUUGGCACGUGGAACUGUGUUGAUCAGAUCUACAGUUAGUCAGACGGUGCUCUGUAAUGUCUGCUUGGGCCAAAUAAUACUCACCAUUGAAAACAGAGUCCUACUCAUUCUUUAGCUGUUUACGCUGGAGAGAAACAACUUUGCAAUUUAGUUAAGUUCGUCCUUCAUGCAUCCUCAGAAGCAGGUUAGAAGUAAGCAGAGAGUUAUGGGAAACACCAGGGUUACUUCAACAAACUUUGCA